rnacentral:lncRNA from 1 species
UCAUUAUAAACGAAUAUGUUACAAUCGAAUCGCAGAUACAAAAUUCAACAAACAUUAUUCAUAAAAUAUGUGCAGCAUGCACGAUACCCAGAAAAAUUAUUCAUGUAAUUUUUCAAAACAAAGAAAACAAAAAACAAAAGCAAAAUAAGUAAUGAUAUAGUUUAAUUAUACUAGGAUGAAAGAAACGAAAAGCGAAAUGCAAAAUAUUGAGGUAGCUCGGAACAUGGACAUUCCAGUUUGAUUCGCCGAUGAUUUCCCAUAUUUCUUUUUCUUCUUCUUCUUCUUCUUCUUAAGUUUUCUACCAUGAAAAGGGAGGUCGCUGUCUUCCAAUAAUAGUCUUUUCUUGUUCUCUAAUGAAUGAAAUUGGUGAUUAAGAAGUGCUCUUGUCUUUGUAUGCUCUAAGCUUUUCUUCUCAUUUUCCACGUUAGUGGAGGAACUUGGAAAACAAAGGGACAAUAACAGGAACGUAAUGAGGGAAGCACGCAGCAAUAUGUAAAUUGAGGUUUGUGUCAUUUUGUA